rnacentral:rRNA from 1 species
UAACCCGCCACGCUUAGCGCGUGGGGAGACAGUGUCAGGUGGGCAGUUUGACUGGGGCGGUCGCCUCCUAAAGAGUAACGGAGGCGCCCAAAGGUUCCCUCAGAAUGGAUGGAAAUCAUUCGCAGAGGGUAAAGGCACAAGGGAGCUUGACUGCGAGACUGACAAGUCGAGCAGGGACGAAAGUCGGGCUUAGUGAUCCGGGGGUUCCGCAUGGAAGGGCCAUCGCUCAACGGGUAAAAGCUACCCCGGGGAUAA